AUCCAGUAGAUGAGUCCCAAAUAAGACGAAAUGCACAUUCUGGAU
rnacentral:hammerhead_ribozyme from 1 species